GAAACACUGAAACAACACCCAGGAUUUGCAGGCAGAUUUAUUUAACCUUGGAUGGGCACUGACUAAGAAUCAGUUGUUCCUCAAAAUGUCAGGCCUCAAAAGCCCAGGGAAGGAGGUUUGUGUGAAAUUGCAGAGAGGUGGGGGGCACAGAAGUAGAGGACUUGGCAGUCUCUGAUUUGUUCUUACAAUAAACGUCACAGUGACCAGCUAUUUCUGACAGCAGCAACCGAACUGCAACAGGAACUAUUCCUUGACAACUGAAGUGUAUUGGCUGAGGGGCAUUUUCUGCUACAGUGAAGGUUUUCAAAGGUAAUGCAGGAAUUGUCAGACUUCAAGCAGCAGCACCAAUACCCUCAGGAGCUAUCACAUCGAGAUCCACAGCUACCAUUUUUCAGAGUUCUUUUACCUUCUCUCUUGACCCGGUUGUCAAAGAACUCACCUAAGGAUCCAAAGAAGAGAUGAAAGGCAAAGUCAGGCCAGUCAGUGAGGAUGAGGUCAGGGCAGUUCUAAACAGGAUUUAUUGUAUACUCAGAGAGGGAAAUCCAGGGAUUGAGAGAGGGUAAAAUUAUCAUCUCCCACUGCACUGAGAAACCUUUCCUGAAAGAGGUGGAGCUUUGAAGACUUGGUCUUAAUUCAAAAAUGUAGAACACCGCCUUUUUCUUCUAUACUUUCUUUAUCCAGCAGCAAAACAAAAUACGCUCUAGCAUGCCGGCACACUUAGCUCGCGAGCUGUCUGCCCAAUUCAGGAUGGUAACACCCCACCCACUUCCUCCUUCUGACUCUCAAGGGAAGAAAAUUUGAACCUUGUUUAGGCUGAAUCUGUAAAAUGAGAAAAAAAUAUUUUUCGUCUUUCUUUCUUGCAGCUUCUCUCUGCUUCUUGGAAAAUGCAGUUGUAAAUGCACACAACUGAUUGACCGUGUAUGAGCCAGAAUCCAAGUGUUACCCCAAAGCAAAGGAAAAAUUGGGGCACCCUCUCCUGAGGGAAAGUGUCCAAAGACAAGGUCUCCUGGAGCAGAGGAUCCAGUUACAUUUUGUUUGGAUUUAGAUCCUUCCCCAGCUGUGGACACUUUAUUUUUGUUUCUUUGCUUCCUCCUACCCCAUUCCCAGCCCUCUGGCUGGUUUUCCUUCCAAUGGUUACUUUUAAACCUUGUUUUCCUUCCAAUGCUUACUUUCCCCUUCUCUAUUUAUCUCUGUGCCUUAACCCUGCCAAUGACCUCCUAAGAAUUUAGUUAGGCAUAGGAGUGUUCCUUGGACCUGAGAUUUUGUAUUUUUAGCUGGGCAAAAAGAUAUUGCAUGCCUGUAAUCCCAGCUACUUGGGAGACUGAGGCAGGAGGAUCAAAAGUUUGAGGCCAGACUGGGCCAUCUCAAAAUAAAAUAAUAAAAUAACAAAAUAAGAAGACCUGGGACUAUAGCUCAGUGCAAAGAUUGAUUAUAGCUCAACAUAAGCCCCUGGAUUCUAUACCCAGUACCAAAAAUUUGUUAAAACAAAACAAAACAAAACAAAACAAAACAACAUAAACCAUGUGCUGAGCACAGUGCGGUGUAUUUUAGGAGCUACACUGAGGACUCAGACCAGUCUGUUUAGAAGUUUCAGUAGACAGAGGAUAAAACCACUUGCGACAUAGGAAGGAAUGCUAGGUAGAGUUUAAAACCGCAUGCACUGGGGGUUGAAGGAGUGGCGUGACUUUCGGGUUCACAGGAGAGAGCGUCCUGGUACGCAGGGCAUCUGGGACUUCGAGGAGGCUGGGAGGACACGCCAAGGGCAAGUUCUCAGGCCGAAGUCCACCUCCCCAGUGUCUCUGCCUGGCUGCCUCCUGCAUUCUGUCUCAGCUUCGGAGUCCUCCAGCCCCUGCCUAGACUGUGACUGGGAUCUCUGCCAGGCUUUAUACAAACAAGAAACAAGGAAGGAACACAUAAGUUUGGAGAUGGGCUGCUGGUCGCUUUGCUGCUCCAACCACCCCACUCUCCACACAGCACAGCGCUGGACCCAGGAAGGAGCAGCACACAGAAAACUGUGGGUUGUGGUUGUGGUUGUUGUUGCUGGUGUUGUUUUCUCUUCCUGCAGAGCUAGGGAUUGAACACAGGGCCCAGCAAAUGCUAGGCAAGGACUCUGCCACCACACUGUAGCCCCAGUAGAAUGCAGUUUUUAAAGUGACACAUUUUAUUGUGUCCACCUGUAGUCCCAGCUAUUCAGAAAGCUGAGACAGGAGAAUUGCUUGAGUCCAAAAGUUUGAGAAUUUCCUGGACAACAUAUGGUGACCCCAUCUUUUUAAAUUAAACUGCUUUUUAAGAAAAAUUCCAUCUAAUAUUGUAUGUUUUCAUGCAAAGUCAUGUCAGCACAUUGUUUUCCCAAGGACAUUUGCAUUUGAAGUCUUCUAAUUAUGUUCUCCAAUGAAGGUAAUUCCAAGCUUGUGCUAGAAGAGAGGUUGGUGGAACGUGCAGUACAAAGAGCCUUGUUUCUUGGAUCUUUUUUCUCUCAUCUAUAAACUGAGAGGAUUGGCUUGAUCCCCAGCUCUGGUAUCUACAGGUUGCUGAUUUGCUUGGUGUUAGUAGAUCCAGGGCCCUCCACAAACUGCCCCCAAAUGGAGCCUCUUGUCAGGACUCACAGGAGAAGCUGAAGACAUACUGUGUGUGUGAGGAGAUGUGGAUCACACAUUAUGGAGGCUGACAAAUACCAAGAUCCACAGAGUGAGACUGCAAGCUGGAGCCUCAGGGGAGCCUCCAGGGUACUUCCAGUGCAGGCCAGCAACUCAAGACCCAGGGAAAAGCCAACAUCCCUGCCCAGAGGCAACCAGGCCUUCUGCUGAGGAGCGAGGCCCAUCCGCACUAGAGGGCAGUCUGCCGUGUGGGCUAUCAGUUUAGAUGUUUAUCUCAUCCAGAAUCAACCUCACUAAGAUACCUGGGGUAGGGUUCCACCUGGUAUCUGAACAGCUCAUGCUCAGCCAGAAUUUACCAUCUCGUCCCCAGAGCAGGGUGAUCGUGGUUGGCAGAUCUGAUAGAGCUGUCAUCUGAGCCCACACUUUGAACUGCUGGACAGAAAAUUGCUUCUGUUUCCCCCAGCAUCCGGCCCACUUCAUCUGAUUUCUUUUCUUAGCCCUUCACAACUUCAGUUUUUUUUUUUUAACUAGAAAUUUUUUUUUUUUGUCUUUUUCCUUUUUAUCGGUACCGGGGAUCGAACUCACGACUGUCUGCUUUCAAGGCAGGCGCUUAUGCCGCUGAGCUAAAUCCCCAGUCCUUAACUAGAAUUUAAAGGCAUUUUAAUAAAAUAUUACUGUGCAGAUCAGAGGCUCAUUAAUUAAAUAAUUCUGAAUAUACUGAAACAAAAACCACAAACUCAUUCAAAAUAAUGUGAAACCACUUACUACUCACUCAGGGCAGUGGUUCCGCCAUCCACAGUUUCGCUUUCUGUGUUCCUCUCAGUCAACCGCAAUUCAAAAAUACUAAUGGAAAACUCCAGAAUUAAAAAUUUCAUGUUUUUAAUUGCUGCCCUUAGCAGUGUGAUGAGAUCUUGUACCAUCCUGUCCAUUUUGCCUGAGAUACAAAUCAGUCUGGUGUUCACAGUCUCCACAGUGUAUAUGCUACCUCCUCCUGUCUCAUUGUAAUUUUUAUUACAGUAUAUUGUUAUAAUUGUUGUAUACUACUAAUAGUUAUUGUUGUUCAUCUCUUACUCUGCCUCAUUUAUCUAUUUAUUGCCAUUUUAUUUUUGAACACAGGAACU